rnacentral:rRNA from 1 species
UACGUAGGGGGCUAGCGUUGUCCGGAAUCAUUGGGCGUAAAGCGCGCGCAGGCGGUCCUUUAAGUCUGAUGUGAAAGCCCACGGCUCAACCGUGGAGGGUCAUUGGAAACUGGGGGACUUGAGUGCAGAAGAGAAGAGUGGAAUUCCACGUGUAGCGGUGAAAUGCGUAGAGAUGUGGAGGAACACCAGUGGCGAAGGCGACUCUUUGGUCUGUAACUGACGCUGAGGCGCGAAAGCGUGGGGAGCAAACAGG